AGAACUCUUUCAUAAUCGAUAUAAUAUCUAAACCACUGAAUUAAUUUUUGUUUCGCAUGGAUCCUGUUUUGGGUUUCGGAAAUUGCUUUAAAAUUUUAAUUUCCGUUGUGCGUUUCUAUAUCGAAACCCCUACAUGGAGCCCAAAGAAUUCGUUGAUAGAAUCGCAGUCAAAAGUCAAUGCUUACCCCGAACCAUCACCACAUGGCCCACUUGCGCAAUUGCGUUCGCUUAAAACUCCUUGACGAUAGAGAUCACAGCUGGUUUAGGUUGUUCAACCAAUUGAAAAUAGUUGUGCUCGACAAUCAUUAACGCCAUAUCCCUAUCCAAAUUAGUGUUUUGUUUUAAUCCCAUUUCCAACACCAGUGUUUUCUUAUCAAACACUAUUUUGAAUCUCGUCUCUGCGGCCUCACUGACAAACUUUGAACUAUCGAAUUGUUAUCUAGCACUAGAGGUAGAAGCUCGUUAUCUUUUAGCCAACAUACUAUAUUUAACUGUGCUUAAACUUGCAAAAUAAGAGCCCGACUUGGACUAGGCAAUACAACAAAUAGUUGGUGCGCAACCCCCUUUUCCCCCCAAACUUACUCCUCAGAAUGCUCAAUCUAACCCCAAUAAGAAUCCAAUUAAACACAACCUUGGACCAACACAAAUCCAAGGUAAUUCCCAACACUAUGUAGUUCAGAAGCAACAAAACAAACAAAUGCACUAAUGAUGUGGACUGUAACUUCCAAGUAGUUUACCAUUGGUACCUCUGAUAGUCAAUUAAUGUUCACCCUUGGAGUAAUCCUAGCCUCGCUGCUUAUUGAAGACCAAAGUCUGCACAUUUUGAUCUAGGGGCAAGGUUGAGUAUUGAACCUUGGAGUUGGGUUUUGAAUAGGAUUGAAGAAAUUCAUUUCGAAUGGAAUUGGGAUGGGUUAGGUCAUCAGGAUGGUAUGGAGAUAAUCAGAUUUAGAUGUUGAAUAGGAGUGUGUGAAUCUGUUUUGCACUAGAGAAGUAUUAGAUGAGAGUUUAGUGUAAUUAGGAUAAGGUAGAUUAAAGUGACCCAAAACCCUUGUUUUAAUUCGAUUCCAGUCGACCGGCGUGCCUCGCACCCGGUUAGAUAUAUUGAUGGCGCG
rnacentral:lncRNA from 1 species